UACGUAGGUGACAAGCGUUAUCCGGAAUUACUGGGCGUAAAGCGCACGCAGGCGGCGCAUUAAGUCUGAUGUGAAAUCUCCCGGCUUAACUGGGAGGGGUCAUUGGAAACUGAUGUGCUUGAGGCGGUGAGAGGGGUGUAGAAUUCCCGGUGUAGUGGUGGAAUGCGUAGAUAUUGGGAGGAACACCGGUGGCGAAGGCGGCCACCUGGGCCGGAACUGACGCUGAGGCGCGAAAGCGUGGGGAGCAAACAGG
rnacentral:rRNA from 1 species